rnacentral:rRNA from 1 species
AACCUUACCUGGUCUUGACAUCCACGGAAUUUGGCAGAGAUGCCUUAGUGCCUUCGGGAACCGUGAGACAGGUGCUGCAUGGCUGUCGUCAGCUCGUGUUGUGAAAUGUUGGGUUAAGUCCCGCAACGAGCGCAACCCUUAUCCUUUGUUGCCAGCGGUCCGGCCGGGAACUCAAAGGAGACUGCCAGUGAUAAACUGGAGGAAGGUGGGGAUGACGUCAAGUCAUCAUGGCCCUUACGACCAGGGCUACACACGUGCUACAAUGGCGCAUACAAAGAGAAGCGACCUCGCGAGAGCAAGCGGACCUCAUAAAGUGCGUCGUAGUCCGGAUUGGAGUCUGCAACUCGACUCCAUGAAGUCGGAAUCGCUAGUAAUCG